rnacentral:ncRNA from 1 species
CAAUUUAGGUUAUAUGAAAAAUUUUUAUAUAUAAAUAAAUUUUUUAUGAUUUAUAUAAUUUAAUUUAAAUUUAUUUUACAUAUAAAUUUUAGUGUAUAUUUUUAAUUAUUUUAAAAAUUUUUAAAAAUUUAAUUUUAAUAGUAAUUAAUAUUAAAAAUUUAAGAAAUUAAGAUUUAGUAAUAUUUAUUUAUUAUUAACAAAUUUUGUGCCAGCAGUUGCGGUUAAACAAAAAAUAAUUUAAAUUUUAUUAGUAAAUAAUAAAUAUUAUAAUAAAAAUUAAAUAUUAAAUUAUUAGGUGAAAUUUUAAUUUAAUUAAAAUUUAAUUUAAUAAUAUGAUUUAUAAAAUUUUAUAAAAAACUAGAAUUAGAUACUCUAUUAUUAAAAAUUAAAUUGAUUAUACUAAAAUAGUAUAUAAUUAUUUAUAAAAACUUAAAUAAUUUGGCGGUAUUUUAGUUCAUUUAGAGGAAUCUGUUUAAUAAUUGAUAAUCCACGAAUAAAUUUACUUAAUUUAUAUAUUUUGUAUAUCGUUGUUAAAAAAAUAUUUUUUAAUAAAAAUAAUAUUUUAAAAUUUUUAAAAUAAAUUAAUUCAGAUCAAGAUGCAGAUUAUAAUUAAGAAUAAAAUGGAUUACAAUAAAAAUAAUUAAAUGGAUAUUAUUUUUUAAAGAUAAUUGAAGGUGGAUUUAAAUGUAAUUUUAUUUAUUUUAUUAAAAUGAUUAAAAAUUAAAAUAUGUACAUAUUGCCCGUCGCUUUCAUUAAUAAAUUGGAAUAAGUCGUAACAAAGUAGAGGUACUGGAAAGUGUUUCUAGAAAGAA